ensembl:lncRNA
UUCCCUGGAACUUAUGAAAAACUCAUUCAGUCCUUGUUGAACAUGCCGGCUUCCUUGGCACACCUCGUCGGCGGAACAGGAUAUGUACAUGCUUGUCACAGGCUCUGUCCAGGCCAAUGAGUCCCUCUGCCCCAGGUACAGGGCUGGCUCAUGGACCCGAAUGUAUUCCAUUUAUCCUAUGUGUGAUUGCCCUAGAGUUUGCAGUAUAAAUUACACCUAAUUCAAGUCUGGGCUUCCCGGAUGGCUCAGGUGGUAAGGAAUCUGUCAGCAAUGCAGAAGACCUGGUUCAAUCCCUGGGUUGGGAAGAUCCCCUGGAGAAGGGAAUGGCUCCUCACUCCAGUAUUCUUACCUGAAGAAUUCCAUGGAUAGAGGAACCUCACAGGCUGCAGUCCAUAGGGUUGCAAAGAGUCAGACAUGGCUGAGUGACUGGCACACAAUUCAGGUCGACUUUCAAAUAACAAUAAUAACUCUUCAUAAAUUAUACAAGUGCCUUAUAAUAACGAAUUGUUCCUAAUUCCUCUCUCUUGUCCCUGUACUGAUGUCAUUCAUUUUACUUAUACAUAAGUGUGUGUGUGUGUGUAUAUACACACACAUAAAACUGCAUAGAUUGUUGCCGUUAUUUUUAAGAAACUGUUAUUUGUUAGCUCAAUUAAGAAUAAGAAAAAUGAAAAUUUUUAUUUUGUCCUCUUCCUUUUCCAAUGCUUGCUCUCUUUAUGCAAAUCUGGGUUUCUGACCUAUGUCAUUUCUCUCCUCUAUGAAGAACUUAUUUGAGUAUUUUUUACAUAGUGGAUCACUGGCAACAAAUUUCCUCAGUGUUUGUUUAUCUGAGAAAGCUCUUAUUUCUCUUUCAUUUUUGAAAGAUAAUUUCACAGGGUACAGAAUUCUAGGUUGGUGAUUAUUUCUCUCAAUACUUUAAAGUAGUUCACUCCACUUUCUUCUUCUUCUUGCUUGCAUGGUUUCUGAGCACUCAGACGUGAUUGUUUUCUUUGUUCCUCUGUAAGUGAGGUGUUUUUGUCCUCUGGCUUCCGGUACAGCUCCCACAGAUGAAGUCACAGCAAUGCAGGGCUCCCUCUGUGA